AGCGAACGCUGGCGGCAGGCCUAACACAUGCAAGUCGAACGAACCUUUCGGGGUUAGUGGCGGACGGGUGAGUAAUACGUGGGAACGUGCCUUUAGGUUCGGAACAACUCAGGGAAACUUGUGCUAAUACCGAAUGUGCCCUUCGGGGGAAAGAUUUAUCGCCUUUAGAGCGGCCCGCGUCUGAUUAGCUAGUUGGUUGAGGUAAUGGCUCACCAAGGCGACGAUCAGUAGCUGGUCUGAGAGGAUGAUCAGCCACAUUGGGACUGAGACACGGCCCAAACUCCUACGGGAGGCAGCAGUGGGGAAUCUUGCGCAAUGGGCGAAAGCCUGACGCAGCCAUGCCGCGUGAAUGAUGAAGGUCUUAGGAUUGUAAAAUUCUUUCACCGGGGACGAUAAUGACGGUACCCGGAGAAGAAGCCCCGGCUAACUUCGUG
rnacentral:rRNA from 1 species